UUUGUUUUCACGCACAAAGCUCUGGAAAGAACGAAGAAUCCACUUCCUUCGCGCACAAAGUUUUUGCGCACACAGUAUCCCCUUCCUUCGACCUAGCAUAGUCUUCUUCUUCCUCUGAUUCAUCGAUUCAGUCCUCUUCUUCUACCUCAGUCCUCUUCUUCCUCCGAUUUAUGCAUUUUUCGCCUCCAAUUUCCACUCGAAUAGAAAGAACGAAGAAAACUCAAUCUCCGUCGAACUCAGCCUUCGCCAGCUCACCACCGUCAUCUUUCUAUUUAUUGGUAUCUGGUAAUUGGAAACAAGUGGGAUUCCUAUCUCGAUUUUCUCCAAGCUGAUUACAGGUUAAAUAUGGUUUCUACUAAUGAUGAAAGUAGUUCGUCUAGUACGAAAACAGUUGGUAAACGUGGUGUAACCCGAUUGCAAAAAAUUCACAAAGCCAAAAGCAAUGGAAAGAGGAUUGACCCGAUUGCAAAAAAUUCACAAAGUCAAGAACCAAGUGAUAAAGGUUUUUGCAACCCUGGAUCAGUUGGCAAUAUUCCUGAGGGUCUCUUUCCUGUUAAUCUAUAUUUAUCAUCCCCGAGUCGGUGUUUGGUUGCACGUGGCAAACUAUAUAAUACCAAAGGCAACACAGUGCACGGCAUGACUCUACCACCUGGAUAUGUCAAGGUUAAUAUCGAAAUUGCUCUUGUUCCAAGUGAUUAUAUAUUUGGGUUCGAAAGUGCUUUGGUUUGCGAAGUGGUUACUACUUGAUGUUGGUUUGUUGUCCUUAUUUUUUUUAGUGAUUGUACUUUUUGUUUGGAAUUUAGUUUGAUAUACUCUUAGUUGGACCAAAUUAAUAAAUU